ACGUUAUAUUCUUAACUGUCUUGCUUAUCUCAAUUUAAUAAUUUUUCCUUUUCCUUAGAACACCAAAUAAAAGAUACUAUAUCCGUUCCAUUAAAAAAUGUUUUAUUAAAACGUAAAAUCUUCUUUGCGUAGACUAAAGGAGGUUAAGGGGGAAUAGACGUGCUAAUUAAUCACGUCUCGUAAGACUUCUCUUAAUGCACAGUCUUUUAGUUGUUAUCUUUUAAUGUCCAAUAAAUUCUAAAGGAUCAGCUUCUCAAUGUAUUGUUUCUUACGUCCUUCAUUUCAUAAUAAAGCUCAUAUAGAUUUGUGCACUUAAACCAAGACAACUCUCAUUUCUAGUGUUUGGCAAUUUAAAUUGGUUUGAGAAUAAAUUAAUUUGAGUUAUUGGCCGAGUGCUGGAGCCAAAAGAAAAAUGAGCAAUAUUAUGAAAUAAAUGGAAAAAAAAUCAUAUAUGAGUUGUAUAAGGGAAUGGCGGAACUAAAGCUUGUUAUUUGAUAUUUUCUAACAGAGAUUUAAUGUUUUAUGUUGGCUUGCAUUGAGAGGCACCCACAAAUGCAUGCUCGCUUACUGCAGGGACACUUAAUGCUUAUCAGGUGUUUUAUGGAUUAGAAAAACUACAAUUCGGAAUAAAUAGAACUCCUAAAUUUUAAAAAAAGGUCGAUGUAAUGGAAAGAGAGAAUGCUGUGCAAAGGGAACAAUAUGGGUCUCAAAGAAUACAUAUCUGCCAAAUCCACUUUGCAAAAUUAGUUGGUGUAGAUGAGAUUGGAAAAGAAGAAUAUGAUCGGAAAAUGAGCCCAACUCAUUUGGUCGGGAAGUGACCGCUCUCAAAC